UACAGAGGGGGCAAGCGUUAUUCGGAAUUAUUGGGCGUAAAGGGCGCGUAGGCGGCUUGGCAAGUGGAUGGUGAAAUCCCUCGGCUUAACCGGGGAACUGCGUCUGAUACUGGAUGGCUUGAAUCCGGGAGAGGGAUGCGGAAUUCCAGGUGUAGCGGUGAAAUGCGUAGAUAUCUGGAGGAACACCGGUGGCGAAGGCGGCAUCCUGGACCGGCAUUGACGCUGAGGAGCGAAAGCCAGGGGAGCGAACAGG
rnacentral:rRNA from 1 species